rfam:Exophiala dermatitidis NIH/TT8656 unplaced genomic scaffold supercont1.3, whole genome shotgun sequence.
GGUCGGAUGGUGUAGUUGGUCAUCACGUCUCCUUAACACGGAGAAGGUCCUGGGUUCAAGUCCCAGUCUGAUCA